rnacentral:rRNA from 1 species
GACGGGGGGUCCUAGCGUUGUUCGGAAUUACUGGGCGUAAAGCGUGCGCAGGCGGUUAUGUAAGACAGGUGUGAAAUCCCCGGGCUUAACCUGGGAACUGCAUUUGUGACUGCAUAGCUAGAGUACGGUAGAGGGGGAUGGAAUUCCGCGUGUAGCAGUGAAAUGCGUAGAUAUCUGGAGGAACACCGGUGGCGAAGGCGGCAUCCUGGACCGAUACUGACGCUGAGGAGCGAAAGCCAGGGGAGCAAACGGG